rfam:Sus scrofa chromosome 17.
UACAUGGCUUUUUUAAAAGCCACCAGGGAUACGAAUGAGUUGGCUU